rnacentral:rRNA from 1 species
CGGGUGAGUAACGCGUAAAUAAUCUACCCCUGCAUUUGGGAUAACCCACCGAAAGGUGAGCUAAUACCGGAUACGUUCUUUAGAUUGCAAGAUUUAGAGAAGAAAGGUGGCCUCUGAUAUAAGCUACUGUGCGGGGAGGAGUUUGCGUACCAUUAGCUAGUUGGUAGGGUAAUGGCCUACCAAGGCGACGAUGGUUAGCGGGUCUGAGAGGACGAUCCGCCACACUGGAACUGGAACACGGACCAG